rnacentral:rRNA from 1 species
GUCCUACGGGACGCAGCAGUGAGGAAUAUUGGUCAAUGGGCGCGAGCCCGAACCAGCCAAGUCGCGUGAGGGAUGACGGCCCUACGGGUUGUAAACCUCUUUUGUCGGGGAGCAAAUUCCGCCACGUGUGGCGGAGUCGAGAGUACCCGAAGAAAAAGCAUCGGCUAACUCCGUGCCAGCAGCCGCGGUAAUACGGAGGAUGCGAGCGUUAUCCGGAUUUAUUGGGUUUAAAGGGUGCGUAGGCGGAAGGUUAAGUCAGCGGUCAAAUGUCGGUGCUCAACACCGGCCUGCCGUUGAAACUGGUC